UUCCAUGUAUCUUUGGGACCUGUCUGCUAUGGCAGUCUCCCUUCUAAGCCACAGAAGAGCUUAUUCUUGUUUUAGGCUAAGCUGUCAGCAUUUAGUUGGUAUCAGAUUCUGAUUUGCACAAGUAAUAUUC